rnacentral:rRNA from 1 species
AUUGAACGCUGGCGGCAGGCCUAACACAUGCAAGUCGAGCGGAUGAAGGUAGCUUGCUCCUGGAUUCAGCGGCGGACGGGUGAGUAAUGCCUAGGAAUCUGCCUGGUAGUGGGGGAUAACGUCCGGAAACGGGCGCUAAUACCGCAUACGUCCUGAGGGAUAAAGUGGGGGAUCUUCGGACCUCACUCUAUCAGAUGAGCCUAGGUCGGAUUAGCUAGUUGGUGGGGUAAAGGCCUACCAAGGCGACGAUCCGUAACUGGUCUGAGAGGAUGAUCAGUCACACUGGAACUGAGACACGGUCCAGACUCCUACGGGAGGCAGCAGUGGGGAAUAUUGGACAAUGGGCGAAAGCCUGAUCCAGACAUGCCGCGUGUGUGAAGAAGGUCUUCGGAUUGUAAAGCACUUUAAGUUGGGAGGAAGGGCAGUAAGUUAAUAACUUGCUGUUUUGACGUUACCAACAGAAUAAGCACCGGCUAACUUCGUG